GACGGAGGAUGCAAGUGUUAUCCGGAAUCACUGGGCGUAAAGCGUCUGUAGGUGGUUUAAAAAGUCCACUGUUAAAAAUUGAAGCUUGACUUCAAAGAUGCCGUGGAAACUUUUAAACUUGAGUAUGAUAGGGGUAGAGGGAAUUUCCAGUGGAGCGGUGAAAUGCGUAGAUAUUGGAAAGACCACCAAUGGCGAAGGCACUCUACUGGGCCAUUACUGACACUGAGAGACGAAAGCUAGGGGAGCGAAUGGG
rnacentral:rRNA from 1 species